UUGCUUCCAAUUCAUUCCACUGGUUGCAAGAUGCCUAGGAGUGUGGUGGUGAGUCAAGAAGCCAUUAGAAUGGAUGAGCUUGAGGAGAAGCUGCGGAUCAUACAAGAAGGUAUUGAUGAGAAGAUAGAACAUAAAAUGGAAGAAAUGAGGGAAAUGAUAAUUGAUGAGAUGCGGAUUAUAAUGACUGGAAUUUUUACUAAUAAAGGGAAGGGAAAUGUGAACGAAGAAGUUGAAGGGAAUGCAAUUCAAGAAGGGCAAGGCAGCAAGGGGACUACCAAAUCCAAAGAAGCCAGCAAAGGGAAAUCAAAGAGAGCAAGUAAGUGUUUCUUCUGUUAUGGGAAACGGGGACAUACCAGGGUCACCGCUAAAAAUUGAGUUAGUUACUUGUGAUGGUAGUGAACCUAGGGUUUGGCUUAAAAAAUGUGAAGUAUUUUGAAAUAUAUAAUGUACCAGGGGAUCAAAGAGUGCGAAUUGCUGCUUUGUUUUUAAUA
rnacentral:misc_RNA from 1 species